rnacentral:tRNA from 1 species
GCCUCCUUCGUCUAGUGGUCAGGACACCGGGUUUUCAUCCCGGCAACACCAGUUCAAUUCUGGUAGGAGGUG